UUUCCGUAGGUGAACCUGCGGAAGGAUCAUUACUGAGUAAGGGCCUCUGGGGGUCCAACCUCCCACCCGUGUCUAACGAACCUUGUUGCUUCAGCGGCCCCGCCUCACGCCCGCUGGGUGGCAUCUCCCCCCGGGCCCGCGCCAGCCGAAACCACCUGGGAUCGCUGUCUGAAAUAUGAAGUUUGAGACACUUAUUAAAUUAAUUAAAACUUUCAACAACGGAUCUCUUGGUUCCG
rnacentral:misc_RNA from 1 species